rnacentral:rRNA from 1 species
GCCAGACUCCUACGGGAGGCAGCAGUGAGGAGUAUUGGUCAAUGGGCGGGAGCCUGAACCAGCCAUGCCGCGUGAAGGCGAGUGCCCUACGGGCGUUAAACUUCUUUUGUGCGGGAGCAAUAAGGGCCACGUGUGGCCCGAUGAGAGUACCGCACGAAUAAGCAUCGGCUAACUCCGUGCCAGCAGCCGCGGUAAUACGGAGGAUGCGAGCGUUAUCCGGAUUUAUUGGGUUUAAAGGGUGCGUAGGUGGUUAAUUAAGUCAGCGGUGAAAGUUUGUGGCUCAACCAUAAAAUUGCCGUUGAAACUGGUUGACUUGAGUAUAUUUGAGGUAGGCGGAAUGCGUGGUGUAGCGGUGAAAUGCAUAGAUAUCACGCAGAACUCCGAUUGCGAAGGCAGCUUACUAAACUAUAACUGACACUGAAGCACGAAAGCGUGGGGAUCAAACAGGAUUAGAUACCCGAGUAGA